UGCCAAUGGAUUUUCAUCAUUAAAAGAUCCUCAAAUGGACAGUUGAAUUUUCAAAGCUUUCAAACAAAGUAUAUAUUGAACUUGCAGCUUGGUUGGUACUUUCCUCCAAAGAUAAUCCUAGUCACUGUCGACAACAUUGGAAACUUCAAUAGUCGGAACUGGAGGCCUUCACCAGAAAGCAGUCCUUUACUCAUGUUUUUGCUCUACCUUUCACUCCUGAAAUCAACUUUGGAUUCUGUCUCUUAACAGAAGUAAAAAGCGACAUUUAGAGGAAAAAAAUGACUACUAUCCUUCAUAAUAAACCUGGAACAACCCUAUAUGUACUUUUCA
rnacentral:lncRNA from 1 species